AGACUCCUACGGGAGGCAGCAGUGGGGAAUAUUGCACAAUGGGGGAAACCCUGAUGCAGCGACGCCGCGUGGAGGAAGAAGGUCUUCGGAUUGUAAACUCCUGUUGUUGAGGAAAAAACGGAUGGUACUCAACAAGGAAGUGACGGCUAACUACGUGCCAGCAGCCGCGGUAAAACGUAGGUCACAAGCGUUGUCCGGAAUUACUGGGUGUAAAGGGAGCGCAGGCGGGUAUGCAAGUUGGAAGUGAAAUACAUGGGCUCAACCCAUGAACUGCUUUCAAAACUGUGUAUCUUGAGUAGUGCAGAGGUAGGCGGAAUUCCCGGUGUAGCGGUGGAAUGCGUAGAUAUCGGGAGGAACACCAGUGGCGAAGGCGGCCUACUGGGCACCAACUGACGCUGAGGCUCGAAAGUGUGGGUAGCAAACAGGAUUAGAUACCCUGGUAGUCCACACCGUAAACGAUGAUUACUAGGUGUUGGAGGAUAGACCCCUUCAGUGCCGCAGUUAACACAAUAAGUAAUCCACCUGGGGAGUACGACCGCAAGGUUGAAACUCAAAGGAAUUGACGGGGGCCCGCACAAGCAGUGGAGUAUGUGGUUUAAUUCGACGCAACGCGAAGAACCUUACCAAGUCUUGACAUCCU
rnacentral:rRNA from 1 species